AGUGAACGCUGGCGGUGGGCCUAACACAUGCAAGUCGAACGGCAGCACAGUAAGAGCUUGCUCUUACGGGUGGCGAGUGGCGGACGGGUGAGGAAUACAUCGGAAUCUACUUUUUCGUGGGGGAUAACGUAGGGAAACUUACGCUAAUACCGCAUACGACCUACGGGUGAAAGCAGGGGAUCUUCGGACCUUGCGCGAUUGAAUGAGCCGAUGUCGGAUUAGCUAGUUGGCGGGGUAAAGGCCCACCAAGGCGACGAUCCGUAGCUGGUCUGAGAGGAUGGUCGGCCACACUGGAACUGAGACACGGUCCAGACUCCUACGGGAGGCAGCAGUGGGGAAUAUUGGACAAUGGGCGCAAGCCUGAUCCAGCCAUACCGCGUGGGUGAAGAAGGCCUUCGGGUUGUAAAGCCCUUUUGUUGGGAAAGAAAAGCAGCAGGUUAAUACCCCGCUGUUCUGACGGUACCCAAAGAAUAAGCACCGGCUAACUUCGUG
rnacentral:rRNA from 1 species